rnacentral:rRNA from 1 species
UACGUAGGGUGCAGGCGUUAAUCGGAAUUACUGGGCGUAAAGCGUGCGCAGGCGGUCUGCUAAGACAGGUGUGAAAUCCCCGGGCUUAACCUGGGAACUGCGCUUGUUACUGGCAGGCUGGAGUGUGGCAGAGGGGGGUGGAAUUCCACGUGUAGCGGUGAAAUGCGUAGAGAUGUGGAGGAACACCGAUGGCGAAGGCAGCCUUCUGGGCCAACACUGACGCUCAUGCACGAAAGCGUGGGGAGCAAACAGG